AGAGUUUGAUCAUGGCUCAGAAUCAACGCUGGCGGCGCGCUUAACACAUGCAAGUCGAACGAGAAAGGGGAGCAAUCCCUGAGUAAAGUGGCGUACGGGUGAGUAACACGUGGGUAAUCUACCUUUUGGUGGGGAAUAACGCUGGGAAACCGGCGCUAAUACCGCAUAAUCUCGAAAGAGGAAAAGAGAAAUCUGCCGAAAGAGGAGCCCGCGGCUGAUUAGCUAGUUGGUGAGGUAAAGGCUCACCAAGGCAAUGAUCGGUAGCCGGCCUGAGAGGGCACACGGCCACACUGGCACUGAAACACGGGCCAGACUCCUACGGGAGGCAGCAGUGGGGAAUCUUGCACAAUGGGGGAAACCCUGAUGCAGCGACGCCGCGUGAGUGAUGACGCCCUUCGGGGUGUAAAGCUCUUUCGGCAGGGACGAUAAUGACGGUACCUGAAGAAGAAGCUGCGGCUAACUACGUGCCAGCAGCCGCGGUAAUACGUAGGCAGCGAGCGUUGUUCGGAGUUACUGGGCGUAAAGAGUGCGUAGGCGGUUUUCUAAGUUUGGUGUGAAAUCUCCCGGCUCAACUGGGAGGGUGCGUCGAAGACUGGAAGGCUAGAGUGUGGGAGAGGUAAGCGGAAUUCCUGGUGUAGCGGUGAAAUGCGUAGAUAUCAGGAGGAACACCUGCGGUGUAGACGGCUUACUGGACCAUAACUGACGCUGAGGCACGAAAGCGUGGGUAGCAAACAGGAUUAGAUACCCUAGUAGUCC
rnacentral:rRNA from 1 species